rnacentral:rRNA from 1 species
ACGGAAGGCAGCAGUGGGGAAUAUUGCACAAUGGGGGAAACCCUGAUGCAGCAACGCCGCGUGAAGGAAGACGGUCUUCGGAUUGUAAACUUUUGUUCUUAGUGAAGAUAAUGACGGUAGCUAAGGAGCAAGCCACGGCUAACUACGUGCCAGCAGCCGCGGUAAUACGUAGGUGGCAAGCGUUGUCCGGAAUUACUGGGUGUAAAGGGAGCGCAGGCGGGAAAUCAAGUUGGAUGUGAAAUGUCGGGGCUUAACCCCGGAACUGCAUCCAAAACUGAUUUUCUUGAGUGAAGUAGAGGUAGGCGGAAUUCCGAGUGUAGCGGUGAAAUGCGUAGAUAUUCGGAGGAACACCAGUGGCGAAGGCGGCCUGCUGGGCUUUAACUGACGCUGAGGCUCGAAAGUGUGGGGAGCAAACAGGAUUAGAUACCCUGGUA